rnacentral:rRNA from 1 species
GGGUUGUGAGGUUAAGCGACUAAGCGUACACGGUGGAUGCCCUGGCAGUCAGAGGCGAUGAAGGACGUGCUAAUCUGCGAUAAGCGUCGGUAAGGUGAUAUGAACCGUUAUAACCGGCGAUUUCCGAAUGGGGAAACCCAGUGUGAUUCGUCACACUAUCAUUAACUGAAUCCAUAGGUUAAUGAGGCGAACCGGGGGAACUGAAACAUCUAAGUACCCCGAGGAAAAGAAAUCAACCGAGAUUCCCCCAGUAGCGGCGAGCGAACGGGGAGCAGCCCAGAGCCUGAAUCAGUGUGUGUGUUAGUGGAAGCGUCUGGAAAGGCGCGCGAUACAGGGUGACAGCCCCGUACACAAAAAUGCACAUGCUGUGAGCUCGAUGAGUAGGGCGGGACACGUGGUAUCCUGUCUGAAUAUGGGGGGACCAUCCUCCAAGGCUAAAUACUCCUGACUGACCGAUAGUGAACCAGUACCGUGAGGGAAAGGCGAAAAGAACCCCGGCGAGGGGAGUGAAAAAGAACCUGAAACCGUGUACGUACAAGCAGUGGGAGCCUCUU